UUAUUGGAGAGUUUGAUCCUGGCUCAGGACGAACGCUGGCGGCGUGCCUAAUACAUGCAAGUCGAGCGAGGGUCUUUAAGACCCUAGCGGCGGACGGGUGAGUAACACGUAGGCAACCUGCCCGUAAGACCGGGAUAACAUAGGGAAACUUAUGCUAAUACCGGAUAGUGUAUU
rnacentral:rRNA from 1 species